UACGUAGGGUGCGAGCGUUGUCCGGAAUUAUUGGGCGUAAAGAGCUUGUAGGCGGUCUGUCGCGUCUGCCGUGAAAAUCCGGGGCUCAACCCCGGACUUGCAGUGGGUACGGGCAGACUAGAGUGUGGUAGGGGCAACUGGAAUUCUCGGUGUAGCGGUGAAAUGCGUAGAUAUCGAGAGGAACACCUGCGGCGAAGGCGGGUUGCUGGGCUGAUACUGACGCUGAGGCGCGAAAGCCAGGGGAGCGAACGGG
rnacentral:rRNA from 1 species